rnacentral:tRNA from 1 species
CCGAUGUAGCUCAGUUGGUAGAGCACCUCAUUCGUAAUGAGUAGGUCGGCGGUUCGAAUCUACC